rnacentral:rRNA from 1 species
UAGAGUUUGAUCAUGGCUCAGGAUGAACGCUGGCGAGAUGCCUUAUACAUGCAAGUCGUACGAGAGUUUUUAACUCAAGUGGCGGACGGGUGAGUAACACGUAAGAAUUUGCCUUUAGGAGGGGGACAACAACUGGAAACGGUUGCUAAUACCCCAUAUGCUUUCGAGUGAAAUGGAUUUUUCCGCCUAGAGAGAAGCUUGCGGCUGAUUAGCUUGUUGGUGAGGUAAUGGCUUACCAAGGCGACGAUCAGUAUCUGGUUUGAGAGGACGAUCAGACACACUGGAACUGAGACACGGUCCAGACUCCUACGGGAGGCAGCAGUAGGGAAUUUUCCGCAAUGGGCGAAAGCCUGACGGAGCAAUCUCGCGUGAGGGAUGACGGCCUAUGGGUUGUAAACCUCUUUUUUCAGGGAGGAAUAAAUGACGUGUACCUGAAGAAUAAGCAUCGGCUAACUCCGUGCCAGCAGCCGCGGUAAGACGGAGGAUGCAAGUGUUAUCCGGAAUCACUGGGCGUAAAGCGUCUGUAGGUGGUUUAAUAAGUCAACUGUUAAAUCUUGAAGCUCAACUUCAAAAUCGCAGUCGAAACUAUUAGACUAGAGUAUAGUAGGGGUAAAGGGAAUUUCCAGUGGAGCGGUGAAAUGCGUAGAGAUUGGAAAGAACACCGAUGGCGAAG